rnacentral:rRNA from 1 species
UACCAGCUCUCCGAGUUGUAGGGACGAUUAUUGGGCUUAAAGCGUCCGUAGCUGGCUUAGCAAGUCUCCUGUUAAAUUCAGCGACCUAAUCGUUGAGCCGCGGGAGAUACUACUAGGCUGGGAGGCGGGAGAGGUCGACGGUACUUUCGGGGUAGGGGUGAAAUCCUAUAAUCCCGGGAGGACCACCAGUGGCGAAGGCUGUCGACUAGAACGCGCUCGACGGUGAGGGACGAAAGCUGGGGUAGCGAACCGGAUUAGAUACCCGGGUAGUCCCAGCUGUAAACUAUGCGGGCUAGGUGUUGGGGUGGCUACGGGCCACUUCAGUGCCGCAGGAAAGCCAUUAAGCUCGCCGCCUGGGGAGUACGGCCGCAAGGCUGAAACUUAAAGGAAUUGGCGGGGAGCACCACAAGGCGUGAAGCUUGCGGUUC